GAGGAAACUUGUGCUAAUACCGGAUAAGCCCUUACGGGGAAAGUUUUAAUGCCAAAAGAUGAGCCCGCACUUGAUUAGCUAGUUGGUAAGGUAAUGGCUUACCAAGGCAACGAUCAAUAGCUGUUCUUAGAGGAAGACCAGCCACAUUGGGACUGAGACACGGCCCAAACUCCUACGGGAGGCAGCAGUGGGGAAUCUUGCACAAUGGGGGAAACCCUGAUGCAGCGAUGCCGCGUGAGUGAAGAAGGCCCUUGGGUUGUAAAACUCUUUCGUCGGGGAAGAAAAUGACUGUACCCGAAUAAGAAGGUCCGGCUAACUUCGUGCCAGCAGCCGCGGUAAUACGAAGGGACCUAGCGUAGUUCGGAAUUACUGGGCUUAAAGAGUUCGUAGGUGGUUAAAAAAGUUGAUGGUGAAAUCCCAAGGCUCAACCUUGGAACUGCCAUCAAAACUUUUUAGCUAGAGUGUGAUAGAGGAAAGUGGAAUUUCUAGUGUAGAGGUGAAAUUCGUAGAUAUUAUGUAGAACACCAGUUGCGAAGGCGGC
rnacentral:rRNA from 1 species